AGACUCGAAGAAAAAUAAAUCCCUACACCCACCCAUUCGCACCCGUCUCUUAAGAAAACCCUAAUAACCAAGUCCUCAAAGGCUCAAACUCUGCCGCUCUCAACCUCUCUCACUCUCAAACCCUAAAGUGAGAAGUGAGAACCUCUCUAAUCUCUUCGCUCUCAAUUUUGCAUCGGGUAGACGUAGAAAUUUGUGACGAGCAGGUACAGUUGCUCAUAUUGCACGUUAGAACAAAUUCCAAAAGCACUCUAGGAUGGGGCAAUGCAAAUCAAAGCAAGAUAUGGCUUCUCUGCCCACAGGAGCAGCAGCAGCCAGUUCUCCAUCUUCUUCUCUCCCACUUUCCUCUACCGAUUACCAAAAUCAUUGCACAUACCAGGUCUUCCUGAGUUUUCGAGGCGAGGAUACGCGCUUUAAUUUUACAGAUCAUUUGCACACCGCUUUGGAUAACAGGGGAAUUAAGACCUUCAUAGAUGAUGAGCUGAGAAGAGGAGAAGAAAUAUCAUCGGCUCUUCUCAAAGCUAUUGAGGAGUCUAGAGUUUCAGUCAUCGUCUUCUCUCGAAAUUAUGCUGCCUCAAGGUGGUGCCUAGACGAACUGGUCAAGAUACUUGAAUGCAGAGAAUCAAAAGGACAAGAGGUCAGACCGGUUUUCUACAAGGUGGCUCCCUCAGAUGUACGACACCAAACAGGCGCUUUCGGUGACGCAUUUGCUACACUUGAUCAAUGCAAAUACAAGGAUAGCCUGGGCAAAUGGAGGAAGGCUCUUUCAGAUGCAGCAAAUUUGUCUGGAUGGACUUUCGAGGAGGGCCGAUCCGAGGCUAAAUUUAUCAAGAGAAUUGUUGGGGAUUUGUCCGCCCAAGUAAUAAACCCUUCACGUGAGUUGCACGUUGCUGAACAUCCAAUUGGAUUAGAGUCUUGUAGACAAGAUGUCAUCAGACUUUUAGAUGCCGGGGAGAAUAGAAUGGUAGGCAUAUGGGGGCCUGGUGGAAUAGGAAAGACCACGAUUGCCAAGGAUGUGUUUAAUUCAAUUCGCCAUGAGUUUGAAGAGAGCUGUUUCUUGGCAGAUGUUAGAUCCAAUGGCCUAGACCAACUGCAAAAGACAAUUUUGCUUGAUAUUUUAGGGGACUCAAAGUUGAAGGUGCGCGGUGCUGAUGAAGGAGUCAGUUUGAUAAAGACAAUGAUGCGAAAUAAAAAAGUUCUCUUAAUCCUUGAUGACGUGACUCAUUCUAGCCAAUUACAGAAAUUAGUUCCAUCCCCUGAUUGUUUCGGGCCGGGCAGUAGAAUUCUCAUUACAACAAGAGAUAAACACUGGCUAAUUGCUCAUCAAGUUGAUAAAGUAUACAAGGUCAAUUUGUUAGAUUAUCCUCAUGCUUUGGAGUUGUUUAGCUUGCAUGCAUUCAGAAGAAAUGGACCUCCAAGCAAUUAUUUGAAACUUGCACAACGUGCUAUAUGUUAUGCCCAGGGCCUUCCAUUAGCUUUGGUAGUUUUAGGCUCUCAUCUACUUGGUAGAAGCACAGAUGAGUGGGAAGCUAUAUUAGACAGUUGUAAAGGAGGUCCUCAGAUGGAGAUACAAGACGUUCUCAGACUAAGUUAUGAUGCUCUGGGAGCAGAUUUAAAAGAACUGUUUCUUCAUAUUGCUUGCUUCUUUAAAGGUAAGUCUGUAGCCCAUGUGAAACCAAUACUAGAAGAUUGCUACGACCUCAAAACAGUGAUUGGUUUUCAACGACUCCAAGAAAAAGCCUUGAUAAGAAUUGACAAAAAUACAAUUUGGAUUCAUGACUUGAUAGAAGAAAUGGGUAAAGAUAUAGUAUAUCAAGAGUCACCUGACGAACCCGGGGAACGCAGCAGAGUGUGGAGUGAAGAAGAUGUCGAAGACGUUCUAACAAAUAAUACAGGAACAAAUAAAGUUAUAGGCAUUCAAGUCCCGUGGCCAUCAUCUACGAUAUCUUUGAAUGCUAAAAGCUUCUCAAAGAUGAAGAGGCUUAGAUAUAUUUCUAUGAGCAGAAUGGUGGAAUAUGAAUCCUUUUCUGGAGAGAUUGAUUAUCUCUCCGACCAGUUGAGGUGGCUUGAUUGGCCUAAUAGUCCGUUGCAAUCUUUUCCAUCCGAUUUUCGUGCAAACAGACUUGUAAUGCUCAGUAUUCCUGACAGCCACAGAAUCACACGUCUAUGGGAGGGACGUAAGAAUUUUUCAAGGCUAACAUGUAUGAAUUUAAGGGGUUGUGAAUCCCUAACAGGACUGCCAGACUUCAGUGGAAUUCCCAACUUGAAAAAGUUGAAUCUUGCAGAUUGUAAGAAUCUUACAACAAUACCAUGCAAUGAGUUACAAAAUCUAGAGAUCCUAAAUGUGAGUAGAUGCUCAAAUCUUCUUACAUUUCAAACAAAAGCAAGUAUGUCACAUGAUCAUGACAGUGGCUCGCUAGCACUUCCCAAGCUACGUGUACUCAAAACCAAAGGGUGUAAUUUAUCGACUGUUGAUUUCAUUGGGAGUCUUGAUUGCUUGGAAACAUUAACCGAACUACAUCUCUCAAGUUGCAAUUUUGUUAGUGUUCCUGCACUUGGCAAAUUUGUAAACUUAAAAGAGAUUAACUUGUCUUAUAGCAAAAGACUUCGAGAGAUUCCAGAGCUUCCACCAAAUAUACUCGAGGUAAAUGCGAGGGAUUGCGAAUCACUGGAUAGUUUUUUUAUAUUGCCCAAGUCUCCCAUCUCUUUGAGUGAGUCAAGGAUGUACUUGUGGAAUUGCCAGAGUCUGGGCUAUGACAUGGAGAAGAUGGAAAAUAUUUUGCUGAAUAAUCAGAAGUCCCGGUUUAGUGUUGUAUUACCUGGUAGUGAUGUUCCAAAGUGGUUCCAUUGUUCGAAGGAACUUGCUGCUAAUGAAAAAGGUGUGUUCAGUAAAUGUGCAAUUUCUUUUGAAAUCCCAAGCAAAUUGAAUUGGGAGAACAUAGGAGUGGCUGUUUGUUCUGGUGAUGACACUUCUAAUUUGUUAUUUAACGCUCGAGCUGAUAUUUCCAUCAAUGGGGUACUCAUAUAUCAGUGUUCCAGAUUGCGCAGUUCAACGCCAGACCAUAUGUGGCUAACUUGUAUUCCAUUAUCUGAUGAAAUAAAGGGAAAGGUGGAUCAGAUAAUGGAAUCUUGCCCUCAUAACGAUCAAAAGGGUUGGUGGCCAUAUAAGUGUCGAGUUCAAUUUUACCCUGCUCAUUGCAUGAAAAGCUGUGGAGUUCACCUCGUAUGCCAACCACCGAAUGAAUAUUCAAAUAAGAUUGUAAUGGCGGAUCAAAUCUCCCAGACUUCUGAUUGGGAAGCCAAUAUUGAUCUUGUUCCCGAUUGGCUGUCAACUCUUGCUAAUUAUGAUUCUUCCUCACCAGCCAGUACUCCAUAGUUCCAACAAUAAUAUAUGCCAUGUUCUUUCAGAGACUAGCUGCUAUUUUCAGUGGGGACUAUAGAUUUUCCACUCGGAAAGGUCACAGAUUCUGGCCAAGUUGGACUAUAGAUUUUUCCAUUUGCUGAUUGCUGAUCUAACUGAAUUUGAGACGAUUGCAAAUGAGCUAGAAGCAAAGAAGUUCUAGCCUGGCUUUGGCCAAGUAUCUUGCUUCAAGGUGAUGCGGCAGGUGGGAGCUGACUUUCUUGAGGAAGAAGGAAUUGGUUUUCAUUGCUUCUAAGGAUGGCAUUGAUACUUGAUCAUAUAUGAUGGUUGAUGAGGGUUUUCUAAUUCAUUAGAAAGUGGUGUGUGUCUCUUUAGAGGUUGCUGCAGGAUCAGGCUCUCUCCAAAAAACAUCUAUUCAUCAAAACUGAUCAAUGAUGGUUUAAAGCAACCACUUGAAAUGCUGCUGCAGUUUUAACUUCAAGUUUUAAAGUGCGAGAAUUGAGAUUUUCAUUGUUGCUUCCAUUUGCAGUGGGAACUAUAAGCUCUCCACUUGGAAUGGUUGCAGAUUUGGGCAAAGUCGGGUACAUGCUGAUCUGAUUGAAUUUGAGACGACUGCAAAUAAGCUAGAAGUAAAGCUAAGAAAUCUAGUCUGGCAUUGAUUAAAUUCUGCUUCAAGGUGACGCGGUGGGUAUAGGCUGACCUCCUUGAGGAAGUAAAAGUUGGUUUUCUUUGUUUCUAAGUAUGGAAUUGGUGCUGUGAGUACUGCUUCUUGGAGUGUGCAUAUGUUGUAGAUUCAUGCAAGCAAGUUGGUGCUGUAAAUAUCAAAUGAACCCCACCCAGAUUUGUCCACUAAUGGAUUUUUCCUAUUUCAAAGUUGGAAGGUUACCAGCAAACAUACGGUGAUAUACCUUGAGAGUGGUGAGACUCUUAUGAUGGUUAGAGCAAGCAAUGGGCGUGAUUGCCCUGCUAUACACCAAUUAAUAUUCUGCUCCUUUUUCCUCCAACAACCUUAGUACCAAAAUAAGAUAUCAUAUACAUGAAUGUUGUCUAGUUGGGUGGUUGAUCAAGAGUUUGCAGCAGAUGUAGCCAUAGGCAAAUGGCAGGAUACUAGUGCUUCCCUGAUUGAGGCUCCAAAUAUCAUGAGGUCGAUAUCCAAGGCUUAAUUGAGUUCCAGAGACUGAUUUAUAUGCAUGUAUUUGCUAUCAUCUAAGAAUAUAAGCCUGUAUCUCUCUUUUCCUUGCUUUUGUAAUGCAGACUCUCGCAGGAAGGAAGUAGUAAAAAUAUAACUAUUUCAUCAGAGCAGGUGUUGUAUGCUGAGGUUGUUUAAAAAAUAGCAUGUGGUUGUAAUGCCUAGCAAAAUCAAUAGAUAUUCAAAUAUUAAUUAGCUUAUUUUGUAGUGUCAUGAUACUGAUCCUUAAGAGAGUUUAUGAGGUAGAUAUUCAAAUAUUUGUUAGCUUAUUUUGUAGUGUCCUGAUACAAUUUGCUUCUGCUCUAUCUCGAGGUGCACUAGCGGAAGCAAAUUUCACUUGUGUGUUCUUUUAGAGUGGUUUAGUUGAAUCCCGAAACUGAGAUGUAAAUAUUUGUAAUCUGAUGCUAAGAAUAAGUUCAUGUGUCAUUUUCAUUUCC